ACCAACUCUCAGUCACAUCCUCAUUCCAGUCAUCUCUGGUCUUGGAGCUGCUCUUUUGGUUGGAUUAUAUGUUUGUUCUUCAUUGUCAAGAGAUACAAGAGGCGCAUUGCAGAUCUCGAAUCCAGAAAUGACAAUGGAAUGUGGAGUCGACUAUCAAGAAUGUCUCGCAGGUUUCGUUCAGGUGACGGCAGCAG